GUUAUAUAACAUAAUUAUCACAUUGCAUGGAAAAGUAAAAAAAAGUAAAAGUAGCAUCUGAAAGUUUCUGUUCUCUUGGCUACCAGUUUUUGGCAAUUUAUUAAAUUAUUUAUAGGUAAAACUUUAAUUUUACACAAUGUCUCAGCAUUCAGAAAAAUAGUGUAUUGACGCUAGCACAACAAAUAUUGGUCUUUGCACAUCUUCUUUAAACAAAUUUGUAUGGAAUAUGGCUAACACAAGAGUAUUAUUAGAUUUAUGGAAAGAUAAUUACAAAGCAUUAACAUCUGCUAGAAGAAGCACCAAUAUUUACUAACUAAUGGCAGCUGAAUUUUCAAACACAUUUAACAUCGUACCUCCGUUAACUGGAUAUCAAAUUCAAUCUAAAAUUAGUAAUUUGAGGAAACAAUUUAGAUGAGAAAAACUUCAAGUUGGUUCAUUGGGAGGAGCUCCUAGUAAAUGGUGGCCUUACGAUAUUGUUGCCAAAAUAAUAGGUGGUGAAGCUUUCCUUGACAAAGACCUUUUAUCUCAAAGUCAAAACUUUUCUACUCAAGAUUUUCAAGAUGGUCAGAUUGCCACAAUGGAAGAUGGCAAGGUAUUUUAAAUAUUGAAGCUUUGGAUGAUACAAGUGAUGUGCAAUCAAUUGUCACUAUUCCUGAUGAGGAACCAACUCAAACUACAUCUGGCUGCAAUAAACGGAGGAACUCUGAUGAUGAAAAA